rnacentral:rRNA from 1 species
GGAUUAGAUACCCUGGUAGUCCACGCUGUAAACGAUGGUCACUAGAUGUUCGGUCGUAUGACUGAGUGUCCAAGCGAAAGCGAUAAGUGACCCACCUGGGGAGUACGUUCGCAAGAAUGAAACUCAAAGGAAUUGACGGGGGCCCGCACAAGCGGUGGAGCAUGUGGUUUAAUUCGAUGAUACGCGAGGAACCUUACCUGGGCUACAAUGCCUCUGCUAUCUCCUGAAAGGGAGAGUUCCUUCGGGACAGAGUGCAAGGUGCUGCAUGGUUGUCGUCAGCUCGUGCCG